GCGCUUAACACAUGCAAGUCGAACGGAAAGGCCCUGUUUUUGUGGGGUGCUCGAGUGGCGAACGGGUGAGUAACACGUGAGUAACCUGCCCUUGACUUUGGGAUAACUUCAGGAAACUGGGGCUAAUACCGGAUAGGAGCUCCUGCUGCAUGGUGGGGGUUGGAAAGUUUCGGCGGUUGGGGAUGGACUCGCGGCUUAUCAGCUUGUUGGUGGGGUAGUGGCUUACCAAGGCUUUGACGGGUAGCCGGCCUGAGAGGGUGACCGGCCACAUUGGGACUGAGAUACGGCCCAGACUCCUACGGGAGGCAGCAGUGGGGAAUAUUGCACAAUGGGCGGAAGCCUGAUGCAGCAACGCCGCGUGCGGGAUGACGGCCUUCGGGUUGUAAACCGCUUUCGCCUGUGACGAAGCGUGAGUGACGGUAAUGGGUAAAGAAGCACCGGCUAACUACGUGCCAGCAGCCGCGGUGAUACGUAGGGUGCGAGCGUUGUCCGGAUUUAUUGGGCGUAAAGGGCUCGUAGGUGGUUGAUCGCGUCGGAAGUGUAAUCUUGGGGCUUAACCCUGAGCGUGCUUUCGAUACGGGUUGACUUGAGGAAGGUAGGGGAGAAUGGAAUUCCUGGUGGAGCGGUGGAAUGCGCAGAUAUCAGGAGGAACACCAGUGGCGAAGGCGGUUCUCUGGGCCUUUCCUGACGCUGAGGAGCGAAAGCGUGGGGAGCGAACAGGCUUAGAUACCCUGGUAGUCCACGCUGUAAACGGUGGGUACUAGGUGUGGGGUCCAUUCCACGGGUUCCGUGCCGUAGCUAACGCUUUAAGUACCCCGCCUGGGGAGUACGGCCGCAAGGCUAAAACUCAAAGGAAUUGACGGGGCCCCGCACAAGCGGCGGAGCAUGCGGAUUAAUUCGAUGCAACGCGUAGAACCUUACCUGGGUUUGACAUGGAUCGGGAGUGCUCAGAGAUGGGUGUGCCUCUUUUGGGGUCGGUUCACAGGUGGUGCAUGCCUGUCGUCAGCUCGUGUCGUGAGAUGUUGGGUUAAGUCCCGCAACGAGCGCAACCCUUGUUCACUGUUGCCAGCACGUUAUGGUGGGGACUCAGUGGAGACCGCCGGGGUCAACUCGGAGGAAGGUGGGGAUGACGUCAAGUCCUCAUGCCCCUUAUGUCCAGGGCUUCACGCAUGCUACAAUGGCUGGUACAGAGAGUGGCGAGCCUGUGAGGGUGAGCGAAUCUCGGAAAGCCGGUCUCAGUUCGGAUUGGGGUCUGCAACUCGACCUCAUGAAGUCGGAGUCGCUAGUAAUCGCAGAUCAGCAACGCUGCGGUGAAUACGUUCCCGGGGCUUGUACACACCGCCCGUCAAGUCAUGAAAGUUGGUAACACCCGAAGCCGGUGGCCUAACCGUUGUGGGGGAGCCGUCGAAGGUGGGACUGGUGAUUAGGACUA
rnacentral:rRNA from 1 species